CCGCCUUCAUUUCUACCCAAACCCGGCUCAGAGCGGCGACAAAGCCCUUGCCUCGCCGCCUCUCCCUCAGAUCUCCGGCCGACAGCAGCAGAUGAAGCAAGCUGCCGCCGAUUCUCCCUCGGCUCUCUCUCAAAAUCGACACCCACAACUCACUUCGUCCGAGUCGCCUUCCUCCUUGGAAACGGCGAGAUCGCCGCUCCCUCCCUCUCUACUAUGCUCUUCCUCCGUCCGUGGCCGGACGACAGCGGCAGAGCCGCCGCGCCCUAGCCUCCCUCUCGGAAAACUCAACCACCGCCCCAACCCAUCUCUCUCUCUCUCCGUGACAGUGGCGAACCACCUGCACCACCACCGGACGGACAGCAGCGAUGAGCCGCCGCCGCCUCCCUC
rnacentral:lncRNA from 1 species